rnacentral:tRNA from 1 species
GCGGACGUAGCCGAAUUGGCAUAGGCGCCAGGUUUAGGUCCUGGUGGGCGAAAGCCCACUGUGGGUUCGAGUCCCACCGUCCGCACCA